AGAGUUUGAUCCUGGCUCAGAGCGAACCCUGGAGGCGUACUUAACACAUGCAAGUCGUACGAGGAUCGUCGGGUUAGCAAUAAUUCGGCGGUUCGAGUGGCGCACGGGUGAGUAACACGUGGGUAACCCACCCUCGAGACCGGGAUACCCUCUCGAAAGGGAGGCUAAUACUGGAUACGUUCCCCGGGACGCAAGAUCUGGGGAGGAAAGGUGGCGAAAGCUGCCGCUCUUGGAGGGGCUCGCGGCCUAUCAGCUAGUUGGUGAGGUAACGGCUCACCAAGGCUAUGACGGGUAGCUGGUCUGAGAGGACGACCAGCCACACGGGAACUGAGACACGGUCCCGACUCCUACGGGAGGCAGCAGUGGGGAAUUUUCCGCAAUGGGCGAAAGCCUGACGGAGUGACGCCGCGUGGGGGACGAAGGCCUUCGGGUCGUAAACCCCUGUCAGAGGGAAAGAAGGGUGUCGGCGUGAAUAGCGCCGGCAUCUGACGGGUACCUUCAGAGGAAGGCCCGGGCCAACUCUGUGCCAGCAGCCGCGGGUAAGACAGAGGGGGCAAGCGUUUGCUCGGGAAUCACUGGGCGUAAAAGGGCGCGUAGGGCGGGAUGGCAAAGUCGGUCGUGAAAUCCUCUUCGGCUCAACCGAAAGAAACGUUCGGCCGAAUACUCUGCCGUUUCUUUGAGGGGAUGCAGAGGAGGAGAAUUGGGAAUUUCCCGGGUGUUAGCGGUGGAAUUGUGGUAGAAGAUCGGGAAGGGAACACCGGGUGGGCGAAGGGCCGGGUUCCUCUGGGUCAAUCCUUCUUGGACGCUUGGAGGGCGGCGAAAGGCCGGUGGGGAAGCAAACCGGGAAUUAGAAUAACCCCGGGUAAGCUCCACGCUUUGAAACCGAAUGACACAACUUAGGAGUGGGGGGGGAGGGGUUAAGUCCUCUUUCCGUGGCCCCGCAGCAUUAAACGCACUUAUAAAGUCCCUCCCCCGCCCUGGGGGGGAGAGUACAGAGCCCGCGAAGAGGAGGUUUUGAAAAUAACUCUCUACAAAGAAAGAAAAUAUUGACUGAUGGGCCCGCCACAAGCGGUGGAGCAUGUGCUUCAAUUCGAUGCAGAGCGAAGAACCUUUACCUGGGCUUGACAUGCUGGAAAGUAGAAACCCGAAAGGGGGACGACCUGUUAAGUCAGGAGCCAGCACAGGUGGUGCAUGGCUGUCGUCAGCUCGUGCCGUGAGGUGUUGGGUUAAGUCCCGCAACGAGCGCAACCCUCACCCUAUGUUGCCAUCAGUUCGGCUGGGCACUCUUAGGGAACUGCCGGCGAAGAGCUGGAGGAAGGGGGGGAUGACGUCAAGUCCGUAUGCCCCUUAUGUCCAGGGCUACACACAUGCUACAAUGGUCGGUACAGAGGGUUGCCAACCCGCGAGGGGGAGCCAAUCCCACAAAGCCGAUCUCAGUUCGGAUUGCAGGCUGCAACUCGCCUGCAUGAAGUAGGAAUCGCUAGUAAGCGCAGAUCAGCAGGCUGCGCUGAAUACGUUCCCGGGCCUUGUACACACCGCCCGUCACACCACGAAAGCCAGUUGUACCAGAAGUCGCCGAGCUAACCGCAAGGACGCAGGCGCCCAAGGUAUGGUUGGUGAUUGGGGUGAAGUCGUAACAAGGUAACC
rnacentral:rRNA from 1 species